rnacentral:rRNA from 1 species
GUCCACGCCCUAAACGAUGUCAACUAGGUGUUGGGAUGGUAAAACCUUUUAGUACCGGAGCUAACGCGUGAAGUUGACCGCCUGGGGAGUACGGCCGCAAGGUUAAAACUCAAAGGAAUUGACGGGGACCCGCACAAGCGGUGGAUGAUGUGGAUUAAUUCGAUGCAACGCGAAAAACCUUACCUACCCUUGACAUGUCAGGAACUUGCCAGAGAUGGCUUGGUGCUCGAAAGAGAACCUGAACACAGGUGCUGCAUGGCUGUCGU